AGUUUGAUCCUGGCUCAGGAUGAACGCUGGCGGCGUGCCUAAUACAUGCAAGUCGAACGAAUCUCUUUUAGAGAUGAGUGGCGAACGGGUGAGUAAUACAUAGGUAACCUGCCCCUGUGCGGGGGAUAACAGGAGGAAACUCCUGCUAAUACCGCAUAGCCAUGAGCACCGCAUGGAGCUCAUGCCAAAUAUCCUUUAUGGGAUAGCGCAGGGAUGGACCUAUGGCGCAUUAGCUGGUUGGCGGGGCAACGGCCCACCAAGGCAACGAUGCGUAGCCGGCCUGAGAGGGCGGACGGCCACAUUGGGACUGAGACACGGCCCAGACUCCUACGGGAGGCAGCAGUAGGGAAUUUUCGGCAAUGGGGGAAACCCUGACCGAGCAACGCCGCGUGAGCGAAGAAGGCCUUCGGGUCGUAAAGCUCUGUUGUAAAGGAAGAACGGCGCAUACAGGAAAUGGUAUGCGAGUGACGGUACUUUACCAGAAAGCCACGGCUAACUACGUGCCAGCAGCCGCGGUAAUACGUAGGUGGCGAGCGUUAUCCGGAAUCAUUGGGCGUAAAGAGGGAGCAGGCGGCCGCAAGGGUCUGUGGUGAAAGCCCGAAGCUAAACUUCGGUAAGCCAUGGAAACCGGGCGGCUAGAGUGCGGAAGAGGAUCGUGGAAUUCCAUGUGUAGCGGUGAAAUGCGUAGAUAUAUGGAGGAACACCAGUGGCGAAGGCGACGGUCUGGGCCGCAACUGACGCUCAUUCCCGAAAGCGUGGGGAGCAAAUAGGAUUAGAUACCCUAGUAGUCCACGCCGUAAACGAUGGUCACUAAGUGUCGGGGGUCAAACCCCGGUGCUGCAGUCAACGCAAUAAGUGACCCGCCUGAGUAGUACGUUCGCAAGAAUGAAACUCAAAGGAAUUGACGGAAGGG
rnacentral:rRNA from 1 species